GAUGAACGCUGGCGGCGUGCCUAAUACAUGCAAGUCGAGCGAACGGACGAGAAGCUUGCUUCUCUGAUGUUAGCGGCGGACGGGUGAGUAACACGUGGAUAACCUACCUAUAAGACUGGGAUAACUUCGGGAAACCGGAGCUAAUACCGGAUAAUAUUUUGAACCGCAUGGUUCAAAAGUGAAAGACGGUCUUGCUGUCACUUAUAGAUGGAUCCGCGCUGCAUUAGCUAGUUGGUAAGGUAACGGCUUACCAAGGCAACGAUGCAUAGCCGACCUGAGAGGGUGAUCGGCCACACUGGAACUGAGACACGGUCCAGACUCCUACGGGAGGCAGCAGUAGGGAAUCGUCCGCAGUGGGCGAAAGCCUGACGGAGCAACGCCGCGUGAGUGAUGAAGGUCUUCGGAGCGUAAAACUCUGUUAUUAGGGAAGAACAUAUGUGUAAGUAACUGUGCACAUCUUGACGGUACCUAAUCAGAAAGCCACGGCUAACUACGUG
rnacentral:rRNA from 1 species